CUCUCUGUGUCUCUCAAACAGACUACAGCUGGUACUGCCCACUGUGCUCUCAGACUCUUAGUCCCCACACUCUUAAACAGCCUUGAAUUUGCAUCCAUGGCUUUGGUUUCCUUCUUCUCUGCGUUCUCACUUAUCUACUAACAUAUUCUGAUUUCCAAGCUGUAAUCUUCUUUAAAAUUGUUAACUUUUUCCUAUUCAUUUCUUCUAUCUUGUUCAAAUUUCCUUUUUGAAACUGUUCUGUUUGUUUGGGAGUCAUAAAGCUGGAGGCAUGAAUAAAGGGUUGUCUCUCAAAUUCAGUGCCAGUAUGGUUCUUCUCCAGGUGUUUUUGCUGCUUUUAAGUCUGAAUGGAUAUCAGUAUGUUAGAGGAUCUACGUUGAUGGAUAGACGGUUGGAUGAUUUUCUUCCUGAGAUCUCACCAAAUGCAGGUCCUCAGCCUUUUCUUCCUAUUCUCGCACCUUCUCCUUUGCAACCUUUCACCAACAGUUCUAUACCAAAGUUAUCAGGACUGUGUAUGUUGAACUUCACUGCUGCUGAAAGCUUGAUGAGCAUGACGUCAAUUGAUUGCUGGGCCUUUUUUGCACCAUUGCUGGCUAAUGUUAUAUGUUGUCCACAGUUACAAGCGAUGCUUGCAAUUCUUGUUGGCCAAUCCAGUAAAGAGACUAAUGUGCUUGCUUUAAAUGGGACUAUUUCCAAGUAUUGCCUUUCAGAUAUUGAGCAAAUUUUGGUAGGUCAGGGUGCUGCAAAUAAUGUUAAGAGAAUAUGCUCAAUUCAUCCCUCAAAUCUCACCGAAGGGUCUUGCCCAGUCAAAGAUGUGAAUGAAUUUGAAAGCACUGUGGAUUCGUCUAAGCUUCUUGCUGCCUGCGAGAAGGUUGAUCCUGUGAAAGAAUGUUGUGACCAAGUAUGUCAAAAUGCUAUAUCUGAAGCUGCUACAAGAAUUGCUCUUAAAACUUCUGAAAUCUUGAGCAUGGAAGGGACCCAUGGUUUACCUCAGCACUCAACUAGGGUUAACGAUUGUAAACAUAUUGUUCUCCGGUGGUUGGCAAGUAAACUUGAUCCUUCUCAUGCAAAGGAGGUUCUCAGAAUACUAUCUAAUUGCAAUGUUAAUAAAGUUUGCCCUCUGGUUUUCCCUGAAAUGAGCCAUGUUGCAAAGGGCUGUGGGAAUGGGAUAAGUAACACGACAGGAUGCUGUAGUGCCAUGGAUAGCUAUGUGUCUCACUUGCAGAAGCAGAGCUUCAUAACCAACUUGCAAGCUUUGGAUUGUGCUACAACUCUUGGGAGGAAGUUACAGAAAUCAAAUAUUACAAGAGAUGUUUAUAGCCUUUGUCACAUAAGCCUUAAGGAUUUCUCACUCCAAGUUGCAAAGGAAGGUGUGGUACUUUACGCAACCAUUUAUAGUCUGGAUGCCUUCUACCAAGCUUGCCUUCUGAUGCAACACUGGAUAAAUCAUCUGGAAUCAGCUUUAUUUGUGAUCUGAAUGACAAUAUUCCUGCGCCAUGGCCCUCUUCAUCUCAAUCAUCAGCAUCAUCAUGCAAUAAAACUGUGAAAAUCCCAGCACUUCCAGCUGCUGCAUCCGCUCAAAGUGGCCUUUAUAGUGAAGAUCUUGUAUUUUACGUGACGUUUGCCGUCACCAUCGUUAUCAUGAUGCUCUUGUAGACUUGUUGUGUCAUAUUCAAGGCAAUCUUACAUACCCAGAAGGUUUCCAUGCGUGAUAUAUCUUCACUAGAUUCUUGUAGAAUGAGGUCAUCAAAUUGAACUCAUACGAAAGAGGAUUCACAACUGCUGACCCCCCUGAUAAUCCAAGCUGUACCAGGUAGUCCUGAAGCCUCAGCUUGAUGUGAAUUUAAGUUCGUCUCACUGAUGUGUAUUAAUUCAUGAAUCUUGCAUGCUUGAGUAAUGAUUUUUCUUUUGUAAAGGUUGGUAUUUUUAAAAAAAUCGAAAAAAAUAAAAUAGAAGUAUACUGUUGUGUUUCAGUAGACUGUAUCGUGUAUAUUCAGACUGUUGAUGAAUUUGAUUUUUUAGUAUUCAUUGAUAUUGGA